rnacentral:rRNA from 1 species
CCUACGGGAGGCAGCAGUGAGGAAUAUUGGUCAAUGGACGGAAGUCUGAACCAGCCAUGCCGCGUGCAGGAAGACGGCUCUAUGAGUUGUAAACUGCUUUUUUACAAGGGUAAACCUGAAUACGUGUAUUCUGCUGAAAGUACUGUACGAAUAAGGAUCGGCUAACUCCGUGCCAGCAGCCGCGGUAAUACGGAGGAUCCAAGCGUUAUCCGGAUUUAUUGGGUUUAAAGGGUGCGUAGGCGGAUUGAUAAGUUAGAGGUGAAAUGUCCGAGCUUAACUCGGGAACUGCCUCUAAUACUGUUGAUCUAGAGAGUAGAUGAGGUAGGCGGAAUGUAUGGUGUAGCGGUGAAAUGCUUAGAGAUAAUACAGAACACUGGUUGCGAAGGCAGCUUACCAAUCUAUAUCUGACGUUGAGGCACGAAAGCGUGGGGAGCAAACAGGAUUAGAUACCCGAGUAGUC